UACGGAGGGGACUAGCGUUGUUCGGAAUUACUGGGCGUAAAGCGCACGUAGGCGGAUUUGUAAGUCCGGGGUGAAAUCCCGGGGCUCAACCUCGGAACUGCCUUUUAUACUGCAAAUCUCGAGUCCGGAAGAGGUGAGUGGAAUUCCUAGUGUAGAGGUGAAAUUCGUAGAUAUUAGGAAGAACACCAGUGGCGAAGGCGGCUCACUGGUCCGGUACUGACGCUGAGGUGCGAAAGCGUGGGGAGCAAACAGG
rnacentral:rRNA from 1 species